GCCACUGCUAUUGGGGUUCGGCUAAGCCAUGCGAGUGGAGGGCGUCCCGCAAGGGAUGGCCCCGCAGACGGCUCAGUAACACGUCGUCAACCCACCUUAGGGUGGGGGACAACCUCGGGAAACUGAGGAUAAUCCCCCAUAGGCAGGGGAGGCUGGAAUGCGCCCCCGCUGAAAGCUCAGGCGCCCUAGGACGGGACGGCGGCCUAUCAGGUAGUUGGUGGUGUGACG
rnacentral:rRNA from 1 species